GGGUAGAGGAAGGUGGGUCCCUGGCUAGGGCUCCACCCCCAUGAAUCUAGGGGUGCUCAAUGUCAUCACAAGGGUCCUUAAGAGGGAAAGAGGAAGCCAUGAGGGUCAGAGUCAAAGGAAGACUUGAAGAUACUACACUGAGGACUUUAAAGAUGAAGGAAGGGGCGAAAACCAAGAAUGUGGGAAGCCUCUAGAAGCUAGAGAAGGCAAGGAAACAGAUUUUCCACUAGAGCCUCCAGAAGGAACACAGCCCUGCUGACCCACUGUAAUGUCUGACCUCUAGAUGUGUAAGGGUAGUAAGACUGAAAGUCUCAGAAAGGCACUGUUACAUUCUUAUUCCACAACCAUGCAACUCAAAACUGGGGUCCUCAGCAAUGAGCGAGGGGCGAGAGAAGGCACUGUAUAAACAUGGCACAUCCUCCUGGAAAGUCAACUUUACUCAAAGCUUUAGAAACCCAGCUCAAACUAGCUGAAGCAGAAAAGACACUACUGCGCCUGUAAGUUGAAAUUUUGGAGGGAUAUAUUUCAGAGGUGUGGCUAGAUCCAAGGGCUCUCUGGAAAACUCUGUGAAAAAAUGCUUCCUCAAGUCCAGAAACCAGAAGCUCAGGAAAUUCUUGCUUGGUUCCUCUUGUUAGAGGCAGAGAUUAUUCAACGACCUACAGGGUAGCGUUUGAACAUUGUCACCAGGAGUCUUUACUUUGCCAUUUUCCAAGUCUGUUCUCCUCAGUGUUGGUUUCAUUUACAAGAAGGCCAUCUUUGCCCUCGUGGCAAUGAUGGUCUUUACUCCAGGCUUAAGACCCUUACUAUCUACUAUUUCCAAAGCGGAGAGAGAACUUCCCACACCUAGUGACCUGUGACACAGGAUUUUAUCCUGAGGACAGAGGGAAUUCAAUUGGCUAACAUAAUCUGUCUUCCAAUGGAGUAAGAAUGUCUGGACUCUUUCCUUCACCUACCCCCAAGACAUGGAGGUGUCUAAAAGAUAAAUAAAACUUGGUGACUGACUGAAGGAGGAAGAGGGGAUUUCAGGCAAAAUCAACCCUGUUCACUAUGAGGAGACUUCAGAAAGGUUGCCUGCUUCUGGGGAGCAUAGUCCCUGAUUCCUCAAGACACACAUUUAUUCUUUUCUUCAAUGUAUUUGCCUGCAGUCAAAACAAAAUCAUUACCUUUAGCAAAGUUCACAUGUUUCAGCCAAAUCCAUAUGCAUCUGAUCAGUUCUGUAGGUUAUGGGUGAGCAUGAACAUAUAAAAGAGGCACCUGCCUGUGCCCAUCUACUCCAUGGAGUUUGAAAAGGGGCCACUUAUGGAGAAUGUCUUUAGGGACAGAACCAACCACCCUGUCUUUCCUCCAACUCUCAAAGUAACUUCUGGCUUUAAUCCUCAAGUAUCUAUGCUGGAGUUUAAGAAAAAUGUUUUUCAUAGAAUUCAGGUGUAUGA
rnacentral:lncRNA from 1 species